rnacentral:rRNA from 1 species
GACGAACGCUGGCGGCGUGCCUAAUACAUGCAAGUAGAACGCAGUUGCGAACGGGUGAGUAACGCGUAGGUAACUGCCUGGUAGCGGGGGAUAACUAUUGGAAACGAUAGCUAAUACCGCAUACUACCAGAUGGACCUGCGUUGUAUUAGCUAGUUGGUGGGGUAACGGCUCACCAAGGCAACGAUACAUAGCCGACCUGAGAGGGUGAUCGGCCACACUGGGACUGAGACACGGCCCAGACUCCUACGGGAGGCAGCAGUGGGGAAUUUUGGACAAUGGGCGCAAGCCUGAUCCAGCCAUGCCGCGUGUCUGAAGAAGGCCUUCGGGUUGUAAAGGACUUUUGUCAGGGAAGCGGUACCUGAAGAAUAAGCACCGGCUAACUACGUGCCAGCAGCCGCGGUAAUAC